ACAGAGGCUGCAAGCGUUGUUCGGAUUUAUUGGGCGUAAAGGGCGCGUAGGCGGUUGUGUAAGUCAGAUGUGAAAUCCUUCGGCUCAACUGAAGAACUGCAUUUGAAACUUCAUAACUCGAGUACAGGAGAGGGAAACGGAAUUCCUGGUGUAGCGGUGAAAUGCGUAGAUAUCGAGAGGAACACCAGUGGCGAAGGCGGUUACAUGGCCUGAUACUGACGCUGAGGCGCGAAAGCUUGGGGAGCAAACAG
rnacentral:rRNA from 1 species